CCUACGGGUGGCUGCAGUGGGGAAUAUUGCACAAUGGGGGAAACCCUGAUGCAGCGACGCCGCGUGAGCGAGGAAGGAUUUCGGUAUGUAAAGCUCUAUCAGCAGGGAAGAAAAAAGAGGGAACCGGACUAAGAAGCCACGGCUAACUACGUGCCAGCAGCCGAGGUAAUACGUAGGGGGCAAGCGUUAUCCGGAUUUACGUGGGGUAAAGGGAGCGUAGACGGCAAGGGCAGCCAGAGGUGAAAGGGCAGGGCCCAACCCUGUUCAUGCGUUUGGAACUGUGGUGCUUGAGUGCAGGAGAGGUAUGUGGAAUUCCUAGUGUAGCGGUGAAAUGCGUAGAUAUUAGGAGGAACACCAGUGGCGAAGGCGGCUUACUGGACUGUAACUGACGUUGAUGCUCGAAAGCGUGGGGAUCAAACAGGAUUAGAUACCCGUGUAGUC
rnacentral:rRNA from 1 species